rnacentral:rRNA from 1 species
GGGUCAGUAGGGUGGUCGUGCCACCGGUACGUACUGGUCUCACUGAUUCCUCCUUCCUGAAGAACCGUAAUGCCAUUAAUUUGGUGUUGCGGGGAAACAGGACUGUUACUUUGAAAAAAUUACAGUGUUUAAAGCAAGCUAACGCUUGAAUACAACAGCAUGGAAUAAUGAAAUAGGACGAUCGAUCCUAUUUUGUUGGUUUCUAGGAUUGACGUA